rnacentral:snRNA from 1 species
AUACCUUUCUCGGCCUUUUGGCUAAGAUCAAGUGUAGUAUCUGUUCUUAUCAGUUUAAUAUCUGAUAUGUGGGUCAUUGGCCCACACGAUAUUAAAUUACUUUUUUAAAGGAGAGAGACCAUUCCAAUAGCUUGCUAUUGGGUCUUUCAGAUAUCGCUUAUGUGUUGCACUAUUGUAUGAACUGGUAUACCCUAC